GUCUCCUGUGUUGUGGCAGAGUGGAGUGGCUGGAGUUGCUGUGUCAAACCCUGCCAGAUCUCCUAUCGCGUCCGCCAGAGGCGUGUCCUGCAGGAGCCGAGGAACGGGGGUGCUCCCUGCCCCCCGCUGGAAGAGCGGGCUGGGUGUGUGGAUUACCGGAGCCGCCAGGGAGUGGAGUGCCAACAGUCUUUAAUCCCUGCUCUGAUAACCACUGACAGCUAUGGGAAGGAGCGGAAAAAGCGAGGUGUCCCCAAGAAGCCGGAGACAGCAGGGUACUGUGUUCAGUUCCAGCUGGGACCCGUUCCAGGGAGCUGCCGACAGGUGAAGGCGCCUCACGCCCAGUGGACAAGGUACCUGACCCAGGGCCACACGAUCUGUGUGAGGUGUGAGUGGCCUGCCCAGGAUGCCAGGAGCCGGCGCUGCUACGGAGAUGGCGCCGGGACAGGAGGGUAAGCCCUAGACCUUGGGCCUGCGGAAGUGGGAUUGUAGAGCCCUGGCCGUCUCUGCUAUCUGAAGGACAAAGGUGCCGUAGCAGUCAGAUGUUGACUUCUGGCAGGAGUGGGGCCCACGAGGGUCCGGGCCCCAGUGUCCCAGAAGGAGCAGCUCCUGCCUCUCCUGCUGUGUGACCCUGGGCAAUCUCAUA